rnacentral:rRNA from 1 species
CACGUAGGGCGCAAGCGUUGUCCGGAAUUAUUGGGCGUAAAGAGCUCGUAGGCGGUCUGUUGCGUCCGCUGUGAAAACUCGGGGCUUAACCCCGAGCCUGCAGUGGAUACGGGCAGACUAGAGGUAGGUAGGGGAGAAUGGAAUUCCCGGUGUAGCGGUGAAAUGCGCAGAUAUCAGGAGGAACACCGGUGGCGAAGGCGGUUCUCUGGGCAUUACCUGACGCUGAGGAGCGAAAGUGUGGGGAGCGAACAGG